CUGACGAUGCUUUAGUGAGAAGAAUAGAAUAUGAUGACAGUAAAACAGAACAUGAAACUGCUUCUAGAUUACGACAAUGUUUCAUAGCAAAAAAAAGAGAUACAUCUAACAUCUCUUACCAGCCUUUUGGAACAGAGUUUGAUAAGGACGAGAAGCUUUGGAUGAAACUGUUUCUCUCUAUCUCCCGUUUUCUCUCUUACAAACACAAUAUGAGAAGCCUAAGGGUUUCUAAAUCUACAAGAAUGGUAACAAGUGAUAAAAAUGGUAAUACAGAAGAAAGAAGAAGAAAU
rnacentral:lncRNA from 1 species